UGCGCAGGCGGAGAGGUAAGUCAGUGGUGAAAUCCUACGGCCUAACUGUAGAACUGCCAUUGAUACUGCCUUUCUUGAGUACAGUUGAAGUGGGCGGAAUGUGUCAUGUAGCGGUGAAAUGCAUAGAUAUGACACAGAACACCGAUAGCGAAGGCAGCUCACUAAACUGAAACUGACGCUCAUGCACGAAAGCGUGGGGAGCAAACAGGAUUAGAUACCCUGGUAGUCC
rnacentral:rRNA from 1 species